rnacentral:tRNA from 1 species
ACACCUCUCGUUCAAUGGAGAGGACGCGAGCUUCCUAAGCUCGUCAUGUCGGUUCGAGUCCGACGAGGUGUUCCA